rnacentral:rRNA from 1 species
AGUGAACGCUGGCGGCGUGCCUAAUACAUGCAAGUCGAACGGAGUGGCGCACGGGUGAGUAAUGUAUAGCUAAUCUGCCCUACACUAGAGGACAACAGAUGGAAACGACUGCUAAUACUCUAUAGUGUAGGAUGAGGCUAUAUUGUAUCAGCUAGUUGGUGAGGUAAUGGCUCACCAAGGGUAUGACGCGUAACUGUGCUGAGAGGAUGAUCAGUCGAACUGGACGUGAGACACGGGUCAGGAUCCUACGGGAAGGAGCAGUAGGGAAUAGUGCUCAAUGGGGGUAAGCGAGAAGCGGCUUCGCCGCGUAGAGGAUGAUACUUUUCGGAGAGUAAACUCCUUUUGUUAGGGAAGCGGUACCUAACGAAUAAGCACCGGCUAACUCCGUGCCAGCAGCCGCGGUAAUAC